rnacentral:rRNA from 1 species
GAGGCUGCUUGCAGCCGAAGUGAGUGAUACCCUGCUUCCAGGAAAAGCCACUAAGCUUCAGCUACACACGACCGUACCGCAAACCGACACUGGUGCGCGAGAUGAGUAUUCUAAGGCGCUUGAGAGAACUCAGGAGAAGGAACUCGGCAAAUUGACACCGUAACUUCGGAAGAAGGUGUGCCUUUAGUAGGUGAAGGGAUUUACUCCUGGAGCCCAAUGAGGUUGCAAGAAAUCGGUGGCUGCGACUGUUUAUUAAAAACACAGCACUCUGCAAACACGAAAGUGGACGUAUAGGGUGUGACGCCUGCCCGGUGCUGGAAGAUUAAAUGAUGGGGUGCAAGCUCUUGAUUGAAGUCCCAGUAAACGGCGGCCGUAACUAUAACGGUCCUAAGGUAGCGAAAUUCCUUGUCGGGUAAGUUCCGACCUGCGCGAAUGGCGUAACGAUGGCCACACUGUCUCCUCCUGAGACUCAGCGAAGUUGAAAUGUUUGUGAUGAUGCAAUCUCCCCGCGGAAAGACGGAAAGACCCCAUGAACCUUUACUGUAGCUUUGUACUGGACUUUGAACAGAUCUGUGUAGGAUAGGUGGGAGGCUUUGAAGUAGGGUCGCUAGAUCUUAUGGAGCCAACGUUGAAAUACCACCCUGGUGUGUUUGAGGUUCUAACCUAGGUCCAUUAUCUGGAUCGGGGACAGUGCAUGGUAGGCAGUUUGACUGGGGCGGUCUCCUCCCAAAGCGUAACGGAGGAGUUCGAAGGUACGCUAGUUACGGUCGGACAUCGUGACGAUAGUGCAAUGGCAUAAGCGUGCUUAACUGCGAGACUGACAAGUCGAGCAGAUGCGAAAGCAGGACAUAGUGAUCCGGUGGCUCUGUAUGGAAGAGCCAUCGCUCAACGGAUAAAAGGUACUCUGGGGAUAACAGGCUGAUACCGCCCAAGAGUUCAUAUCGACGGCGGUGUUUGGCACCUCGAUGUCGGCUCAUCUCAUCCUGGGGCUGUAGCCGGUCCCAAGGGUAUGGCUGUUCGCCAUUUAAAGAGGUACGUGAGCUGGGUUUAAAACGUCGUGAGACAGUUUGGUCCCUAUCUUCCGUGGGCGCUGCAGAUUUGAGGAAGCCUGCUCCUAGUACGAGAGGACCGGAGUGGACACACCUCUGGUGUAUCGGUUGUCACGCCAGUGGCAUUGCCGAGUAGCUAAGUGUGGAAGAGAUAACCGCUGAAAGCAUCUAAGCGGGAAACUCGUUUCAAGAUGAGAUCUGCCGGGGCCUUGAGCCCCCUAAAGAGUCGUUCAAGACCAGGACGUUGAUAGGUCAGGUGUGGAAGCGCAGUAAUGCGUUAAGCUAACUGAUACUAAUUGCUCGUGCGGCUUGACCG